UAAGGAAUAUUGGUCAAUGGACGCAAGUCUGAACCAGCUAUGCCGCGUGAAGGAUUAAGGUCCUCUGGAUUGUAAACUUCUUUUAUCUGGGACGAAAAAAGGUCUUUCUAGACCCCUUGACGGUACCAGAUGAAUAAGCACCGGCUAACUCCGUGCCAGCAGCCGCGGUAAUACGGAGGGUGCAAGCGUUAUCCGGAUUCACUGGGUUUAAAGGGUGCGUAGGCGGGUAGGUAAGUCAGUGGUGAAAUCCUGGAGCUCAACUCCAGAACUGCCAUUGAUACUAUCUAUCUUGAAUAUUGUGGAGGUAAGCGGAAUAUGUCAUGUAGCGGUGAAAUGCUUAGAUAUGACAUAGAACACCCAUUGCGAAGGCAGCUUACUACGCAUAUAUUGACGCUGAGGCACGAAAGCGUGGGGAUCAAACAGGAUUAGAUACCCUGGUAGUCCACGCCCUAAACGAUGGAUACUCGACAUACGCGAUACACUGUGUGUGUCUGAGCGAAAGCAUUAAGUAUCCCACCUGGGAAGUACGUUCGCAAGAAUGAAACUCAAAGGAAUUGACGG
rnacentral:rRNA from 1 species